rnacentral:rRNA from 1 species
GAUGAACGCUGGCGGCGUGCCUAAUACAUGCAAGUCGAGCGAACAGACGAGGAGCUUGCUCCUCUGACGUUAGCGGCGGACGGGUGAGUAACACGUGGAUAACCUACCUAUAAGACUGGGAUAACUUCGGGAAACCGGAGCUAAUACCGGAUAAUAUAUUGAACCGCAUGGUUCAAUAGUGAAAGACGGUUUUGCUGUCACUUAUAGAUUGAUCCGCGCCGCAUUAGCUAGUUGGUAAGGUAACGGCUUACCAAGGCAACGAUGCGUAGCCGACCUGAGAGGGUGAUCGAGCACACUGGAACUGAGACACGGUCCAGACUCCUACGGGAGGCAGCAGUAGGGAAUCUUCCGCAAUGGGCGAAAGCCUGACGGAGCAACGCCGCGUGAGUGAUGAAGGUCUUCGGAUCGUAAAACUCUGUUAUUAGGGAAGAACAAAUGUGUAAGUAACUAUGCACGUCUUGACGGUACCUAAUCAGAAAGCCACGGCUAACUACGUG